rnacentral:rRNA from 1 species
CGCCUCUUGCAAAAAUAAAGAAUAAGAGGUCCCACCUGCCCGGUGACACCAAUUUAACGGCCGCGGUAUCCUGACCGUGCGAAGGUAGCGUAAUCAUUUGUCUUUUAAAUGGGGACUUGUAUGAAUGGUAUAACGAGGGCUUAACUGUCUCCUCCCUCUUGUCAAUGAAAUUGAUCUCCCCGUGCAGAAGCGGGGAUACUCUCAUAAGACGAGAAGACCCUAUGGAGCUUUAGAUACUAAGGUAGACCAUAUUCCAUAACCCCUUGUUAAAGGAGUAAAUCUAUGCUAAUCCUACCCCUAUAUCUUCGGUUGGGGCGACAAUGGGGAAAUAAAAAUCCCCCAUGCGGAACGGGAAAAUUUUAUCUAAGAAAUUAUUCUUACCAUAAAGCUACUUCCCCAAAUUAAGAGUGACAACUCUAAAUUACAGUAUUUCUGACCAUAAAUGAUCCGGCAUUUGCCGAUUAACGGACCAAGUUACCCUAGGGAUAACAGCGCAAUCCCCUUUUAGAGCCCACAUCAACAAGGGGGUUUACGACCUCGAUGUUGGAUCAGGACAUCCUAUUGGUGCAGCCGCUAUUAAGGGUUCGUUUGUUCAACGAUUAAAGUCCU